rnacentral:tRNA from 1 species
AAAGGGAGACCUAAUUCAGGUAAAAGACGAAAAAAAAGUAGUCGCUACCAAGAAUCAAUCCCAAAAGGUCGGAGCGAGGCGAAAUUGGCUUUCAAACUAGGUUCUGGGUUCAAACAAGACCUGAAUCAGGAACAAGGGCUAUUAGCUCAGGUGGUUAGAGCGCACCCCUGAUAAGGGUGAGGUCCCUGGUUCGAGUCCAGGAUGGCCCACCUGCACAGGUGGCAAAAACAAGAGAAGCGAGGAAUCAGCACCUUAUCUUACUUAUAUAGUAAGAGAGAAUGCUGGCUCUGAGUAAAGAGUCCAGAGGAACCGUGAAAACUGCAUAGAGCUAGGUGAAAAAGCCAAAAAAGAAGACCGCAAG